rnacentral:snRNA from 1 species
GUGCUCACUUCAGCAGGACACAUACUAAAAUUGGAAUGAUACAGAGAAGAUUAGCAUGACUCCUCGAUAAUUUACUUAAUGGGAGGGGCUGCCCUUGCACUA